CAAGGAGUAGUUUAUUUUAAAAUAUAAGUUUUGGAGAUUUAUGAAGGGAUGUCUCCUCCUUGA
rnacentral:tRNA from 1 species